GACGAACGCUGGCGGCGUGCCUAAUACAUGCAAGUAGAACGCUGAAGAGAGGAGCUUGCUCUUCUUGGAUGAGUUGCGAACGGGUGAGUAACGCGUAGGUAACCUGCCUUGUAGCGGGGGAUAACUAUUGGAAACGAUAGCUAAUACCGCAUAACAAUGGAUGACACAUGUCAUUUAUUUGAAAGGGGCAAUUGCUCCACUACAAGAUGGACCUGCGUUGUAUUAGCUAGUAGGUGAGGUAACGGCUCACCUAGGCGACGAUACAUAGCCGACCUGAGAGGGUGAUCGGCCACACUGGGACUGAGACACGGCCCAGACUCCUACGGGAGGCAGCAGUAGGGAAUCUUCGGCAAUGGGGGCAGCCCUGACCGAGCAACGCCGCGUGAGUGAAGAAGGUUUUCGGAUCGUAAAGCUCUGUUGUAAGUCAAGAACGAGUGUGAGAGUGGAAAGUUCACACUGUGACGGGAGCUUACCAGAAAGGGACGGCGAACUACGU
rnacentral:rRNA from 1 species